GUUGCUGCCUGUUGCUGUGCGUGCGCGCUGCAUUGAGGCAGGUCGAUGUGGAUGUUUAAUCGUGUGUACGCUGUGCCGAGAGAAAAUGUCGUGCCCCUUGUGUGCUUUGAUGAUCACCUAACCCCUGGGACCGCGUAACGUAGCUCGCAGUACCUUUCGCGUGGUUCGCCGAUGUCGAUUAUCGUAGUUAUGGCCCGCUUGCGCUUUCUUUCUUCCCGGCCUCUGAUAAUAUCGCAUCGGAUCACAGUGCACGGAAGAAUUUGUUGAGCUAUUACGUGCUGUAGUUCAUCCGCAAUUCAACAGUGUUUACGUCGGAAGGAUCGUCGUGCAGUCGACGCCGCGACCUGACAUGAAGGAGCAUUUGCCGACUACGCCUAGAAAGGGAUGUCAAGAUUUCGUGAACCAGAGGCAUCUCUACACCGCAUAGGAACCUAAGACAUUUCUGCAGCCGGAACAGCACGGCAAAUCAUCUGAUCUGCAUGCUGCGACAAGGUAUGGCUCGGCCUGGUGAUGAAGUGUAAGCAGAACAUGCUAUGCUGCGAAUUGGUGCCAAUCUUCACAUCCGAGUUGUUCCCACGACAGUCAAGCACUACUGUGAUUUGCUUCAUUGGCAAGGUAAUAUACUAUGGUGAGCUUGCACCUCAAUAUUGGUAUUGAAAAAUAUGUCAAGUAAAAGACACAAGAGUUGGCCUUUAUGACAGAUACACUCAUGUUCUUUUUUUAAAGAGCUCUUUUAGCACUGUUCUUUAUGGGCAUGUUUUCAGAGGAUGCUUAUACUCCUUUAUUACAAACUGCCAUGGAGCUAGUUUGUGUGUUAAACUAACACUCUUUCACUAAGAAAAAGUCCAGUUUUUAC